AAAGAUCGCAGCCUUCGGCAGCUCCUACAGGGUCCGGGUUGAUCAACCGGAUCGAUGCAGGAGCUGCCGCAGGCUGCGACCUUU
rnacentral:antisense_RNA from 1 species